AACGAACGCUGGCGGCAGGCUUAACACAUGCAAGUCGAGCGCCCCGCAAGGGGAGCGGCAGACGGGUGAGUAACACGUGGGAACGUACCUUUUGGUUCGGAACAACUGAGGGAAACUUCAGCUAAUACCGGAUAAGCCCUUACGGGGAAAGAUUUAUCGCCGAAAGAUCGGCCCGCGUCUGAUUAGCUAGUUGGUAGGGUAAUGGCCUACCAAGGCGACGAUCAGUAGCUGGUCUGAGAGGAUGAUCAGCCACAUUGGGACUGAGACACGGCCCAAACUCCUACGGGAGGCAGCAGUGGGGAAUAUUGGACAAUGGGGGCAACCCUGAUCCAGCCAUGCCGCGUGAGUGAUGAAGGCCCUAGGGUUGUAAAGCUCUUUUGUGCGGGAAGAUAAUGACGGUACCGCAAGAAUAAGCCCCGGCUAACUUCGUGCCAGCAGCCGCCGUAACAC
rnacentral:rRNA from 1 species